rnacentral:tRNA from 1 species
UAGCUCAGUUGAUAGAGUAUCUGCCUCGAAUGCACAAGGCCCUGGGUUCAAUCCCCAG